rnacentral:rRNA from 1 species
AUUGAACGCUGGCGGAAUGCUUUACACAUGCAAGUCGAACGGCAGCACGGGGGCAACCCUGGUGGCGAGUGGCGAACGGGUGAGUAAUACAUCGGAACGUGCCCAAUCGAGGGGGAUAACGUAGCGAAAGCUACGCUAAUACCGCAUACGAUCUACGGAUGAAAGCGGGGGAUCGCAAGACCUCGCGCGAAUGGCGCGGCCGAUGGCAGAUUAGGCAGUUGGUGGGGUAAAGGCUCACCAAGCCGACGAUCUGUAGCUGGUCUGAGAGGACGACCAGCCACACUGGGACUGAGACACGGCCCAGACUCCUACGGGAGGCAGCAGUGGGGAAUUUUGGACAAUGGGCGCAAGCCUGAUCCAGCCAUUCCGCGUGCAGGAUGAAGGCCUUCGGGUUGUAAACUGCUUUUGUACGGAACGAAACGGCCCUUUCUAAUACAGGGGGCUAAUGACGGUACCGUAAGAAUAAGCACCGGCUAACUACGUGCCAGCAGCCGCAGUAAAAC